GAUUGUGGAUCUAUGUAGCAAAUGUUGUAGAACAAACAGUAUUUUGAGGUUAUAGACAUGACAUUUAUAAUAUCAAUAUUAAAGUUAAAAGAAAACUGAAGAAAUAUACUGUAAAGUUUCAGAAUGCUUCAUCUGAGGUUAGGUGUAAAAAAUAAAUUCACAAAAAAGGUUGUUUGUUAAAGGUAUCUUACAGACAUGUAUUUAAGAAAUUUAUUAUAUUUUCCGUUACCAGCGAAUUCAUACUGUCAUUAUUGUUAUUCUUUGUGGACAACAUGGAAGAGUUUCAAAACGAAUUUAGAAAUAAACAGUAAACACAAGACAUAAAUGACUAUCAUGCUAAACCUACAGCUGACUGUUCUAAUUACCAAGGAAUGAUGUCGUUAUCAACUAUUUGAAAUUUUAUCAAACAUUUUUAUAUCAACAAACUUCAUACAUAGACGGAAUUAUUGGGGUAUUAUCAUUAUGGAUUUCGAUAUAUCUAUUGAUCGGAUAUUCUGCAGUCAUCAGAUACCGGAAAAUGUGGGAGUAUAAUGGCACUGUACAUUAUUUGUUAAUAAACUUCAAGAAAUCCUAUAAUUCAGUUAGGAGAUACCGUACACAUAUCGCCUUGCUAAUUUUGGACCAUCUCUAGACACACACGGGGAAUGUGAAGAGUGGCUUGUUCCAGAUGUCUGGGCCAGUAGUUGAUUAUUUGAUGUCACCUUCGGUGCACUAGUGGUUAGUGUGCCCGCUACUGGACCCAAGGUUCACGGGUUCAAACCUGGCCUUGGUCGGUGGAUUUUUAAGGGUGAUAAAAAUCCAUGCAACUUCUUCGGAGGUGAAGUAAAAAGCCGGCGGUCCUAUCUCGUCGAUUUACAGCAUGUAAAAGAACCUUAUGAGCAUAAAUGAUCUUUUUUUAAACAGACUGAAUUUAAAAUGAA